UGAGUACGAGAUGCUACGGCAUCGAAGCAGUCUAUGUCAUACUUCCAAGAAAAGCUUGCACUGUCAUAAACAAAGAAUGCCUGUACCAUAACCGACACAGGUGGGUAGGUAGAGUAUACUAAGGGGCGCGAGAUAACUCUCUCUAAGGAACUCGGCAAAAUGACUCCGUAACUUCGGGAGAAGGAGUGCCUUAUUUCUAAGGUUGCAAUAACAAGAUCCAAGCAACUGUUUACCAAAAACACAGGUCUCCGCUAAGUCGUAAGACGAUGUAUGGGGGCUGACGCCUGCCCAGUGCCAGAAGGUUAAAGAAGUUGGUUAGCAUUAGCGAAGCUGAUAACUGAAGCCCUGGUGAACGGCGGCCGUAACAAUAACGGUCCUAAGGUAGCGAAAUUCCUUGUCGGGUAAGUUCCGACCCGCACGAAAGGCGUAAUGAUUUGGAUACUGUCUCGGAGAGGGGCUCGGUGAAAUAGACUUGUCUGUGAAGAUGCGGACUACCUGCACCUGGACAGAAAGACCCUAUGAAGCUUUACUGUAACUUGAGAUUGAAAUUGGACUUUAUUUGCGCAGUAUAGGUGGGAGGCGUUGAGAAUAAUCUUCGGGAUUGUUGGAGCCAUCAGUGAGAUACCACUCUUGUAAUGUUAGAUUUCUAACUUUGUAUCAUUAUCUGGUUAAAGAACAGUUUCAGGCGGGCAGUUUGACUGGGGCGGUCGCCUCCCAAAGGGUAACGGAGGCGCACAAAGGUUUCCUCUGAACGGGUAGAAAUCGUAUCUAGAGUGUAAAGGCAUAAGGAAGCUUGACUGUGAGACCUACAAGUCGAGCAGGGACGAAAGUCGGUCUUAGUGAUCUGACGGUGCUGAGUGGAAAGGCCGUCACUCAACGGAUAAAAGUUACUCUAGGAUAACAGGCUGAUCUCCCCCAAGAGUUCACAUCGACGGGGAGGUUUGGCACCUCGAUGUCGGCUCAUCGCAUCCUGGGGCGGUAGUCCGUCCCAAGGGUUGGGCUGUUCGCCCAUGAAAGCGGUACGCGAGCUGGGUUCAGAACGUCGUGAGACAGUUCGGUCCAUAUCCGGUGUAGGCGUUAGAAUAUUGAGAGGAGCCUUCUCUAGUACGAGAGGACCGAGAAGGACAUACCUCUGGUGUACCAGUUAUCGUGCCAACGGUAAACGCUGGGUAGCUAUGUACGGAGUGGAUAACCGCUGAAAGCAUCUAAGUGGGAAGCCCACCUCAAGAUAAGUAUUCUCAU
rnacentral:rRNA from 1 species